rnacentral:rRNA from 1 species
AGAGUUUGAUCCUGGCUCAGAACGAACGCUGGCGGCAUGCCUAACACAUGCAAGUCGAACGCUUUUGGGGUUUCGGCCUCAAGGGAGUGGCGCACGGGUGAGUAGCGCGUGGGAACCUGCCCUGUUGUGGGGGAUAACCGAGGGAAACUUCGGCUAAUACCGCAUGCGCCCGGGGAAACCCGGGGAAAGAUUUAUCGCAGCAGGAGGGGCCCGCGUCGGAUUAGCUAGUUGGUGGGGUAACGGCCUACCAAGGCAUCGAUCCGUAGCUGGUCUGAGAGGAUGAUCAGCCACACUGGGACUGAGACACGGCCCAGACUCCUACGGGAGGCAGCAGUGGGGAAUAUUGGACAAUGGGCGCAAGCCUGAUCCAGCAAUGCCGCGUGAGUGAUGAAGGCCUUAGGGUUGUAAAGCUCUUUCGCCCGCGACGAUGAUGACGGUAGCGGGAGAAGAAGCCCCGGCUAACUUCGUGCCAGCAGCCGCGGUAAUACGAAGGGGGCGAGCGUUGUUCGGAUUUACUGGGCGUAAAGGGCGCGUAGGCGGCGGACCAAGUCGAGUGUGAAAGCCCCGGGCUCAACCUGGGAGGUGCGCUCGAGACUGGUUGGCUGGAGUUCGGGAGAGGAGCGUGGAAUUCCCAGUGUAGAGGUGAAAUUCGUAGAUAUUGGGAAGAACACCGGUGGCGAAGGCGGCGCUCUGGACCGAGACUGACGCUGAGGCGCGAAGGCGUGGGGAGCAAACAGGAUUAGAUACCCCGGUAGUCC